rnacentral:lncRNA from 1 species
AGGGUCACCAUGGAGGAGGAUAGCUUAUGGGUGGCUUACAGAAGGAGGAUGAGGAGAAAUGGAUGAAGAGGAAGAGAAGGAGGUGGAGGAAUGGAUGGAAGCAGAGGGAGCCACGAUGAGGAAGAGAAAUAGGUGAAGAAAAAGGAAAGGGAGAAAGAUGGGUUAUCGAUGAAAAGGGAUGGAUGUGGAAACAGCCGUUAUAGAGAGAUAGGA